rnacentral:rRNA from 1 species
UUAUACAGCCAUAUCACCCUGCAGCCCAAGACUGGUUGCCCACUGAAGCUAAGCAGGGCUGAGCCUGGUCAGUACCUGGAUGGGAGACCUCUUGGGAAAACUAGGUUGCUGCUGGAA